UUAAUCCUAAUUUCACUUUUGUUUGAGAGUGGGAAAAGUAUUAUUCGCUCGAAAGCAAAAACAAGUCAUGAUGUUACCUCACAUCUCCUUUAAAAACAGUCUGGUUGGAGAUUUUAGCUCGUUCGUCCAUUUCUCUUUAAACAUUUAACCGAGUGACAAAUGCAGAGCGGCCAAUAAAUAUAACCUGAUAACGGUAAGAUGAGGAAAUUAUAUUUUGUCUGGCGUUGUGUGAACUUGUCCCUGAAUCUCUGAGAAAUUAAGGCAAAACAAUUCGGGAAACCAAAAGCUGGACGCUUCAGAUGAAUCCUUUUUUUGGCUACCUGCAGCAAUGGAACGUUACGGUGUAGGAAGAUUAGUUCCUCAAGAAGAAAAAGAUACCAACUAUAGGAGCACAGCCUUAGUGCAAUGGAAAGAGGAAGAGUUUACAAAGCCAGAUACUAGAUAUAAGCCGUAAAGAAUAUAUUAAAAGUUUUUUAUGAGCUACAAAUAAAUGAGAAAUUUGCUUUAAACCAACCAGCAAAGAGAAGGUAGGAGGGACGAGUUUCUUUAUUGUGAAUAGCCGUGUAACAGGCGUCUCAGAAGAGAUACCGAAAAGGGAUAGCAAUUUAUGUGCUAGUAACCGACAAUUUCCGAUCUUUCGACUUACUACAAGUUUCAUAAAGGUGGCAUUAUGAUCGUGAUGGAAGCGUGGGCUCGGGAGGAGUUAUAGUCUUGGUGACCGUAAGAACAACACUGAUAGGUUUAUAGAUCCCUGCUUUCACCGCCUCGUCAUCGGUGUUACACUGUUCGAGUGAAGGAUCUUCCAUAAGGCCAGUUGAGUUUCGAAUAACCGGCAACGAAAAUCUAUCAACAGUAAAUUGAGGAGUUGUUUUCUAAAUGUGCGUAACAGACGGGGUGGUGACAUCAGAGACCGUUACUUGAUGAUCGCUUACUUCGAUUUCGUUUAAAAUAUG